ACUUUUCCUCAUUUCUUCAGCCCCAGCAUUUAGUGCCUGUUCAUUUUUCUCUGCCCCUUCACAGAAUAGUCAGUGUCUCAGCUGAAAUAUCCCAAUUUCUUUAAAAAACUAUUUUGAGACAAGGACUCUCACUGUAGGCCACACUAGCUUUGAGUUCACAUGAUAAACUGCUUGUCUCAACUUCCCAAAGUGUGCACCACCAUGCCUGGCUAAAAAACAGCUUUGUACCUUAACACCAGCUCAAUACUUACCUCAAAAUAAUGUAGUCUGAAGUUGGGGAGCUGAGGGAGAGAGUUAGAAGAAGACAUUUCAUGGUAUACCAUGGUGUUUCUGCAUUGGGACCCUCAAAACCAAUGUGGUACAACUCUUACCAUGGACAAGAAUUAUUAAAACAGGGAUACAAAGGCAAAGGGCUCAUAGGGCACAGUCCCAAGGGAGACAUGCAGGGCAUAGUUCAUCCUACCAGUGUGGAAAUAUGGCUGUACAUGUGAAGUGUUGUCUCUUAGAGAAGUUGACUGGAGACACAGUGCACAGAGUUUUUAUUGAGGUCUAGUCACAGAGGCCUUUUGACUUCUGCCUAAAUUCUAGGUUCACAAGAGGAAAACAGCAAUUUAGUAUAUAUUGUAUUGCUUCUCCAAACUAUUGAGGUUCUGUGAAUCGUCCUGUCAAACAGUUAGGGGAUGGAGGGAACACUCACGGCCCCCAUACUCAAAUAACUGCCAGGGCUAACCUGUAAACAAGCUUUUCUGGGAAUAAUAGGCUAGAUGAAGCCUGCUGUCUAUUUUCACUGAGCUCUGCGUAGUACUUUGUUUUUUUUUUUUUAAUCAAUUUUCAUAUUUGUUAUUUUCUUUCAAAAUAUAUCAUUAGCUUAGUGCUACUGACUUUCAUGGUGUAAUUGAAAGUAUCUUCCAUGGAGCACUGUCUGUAGCUUCUUAUUGGGCUUUGCUAGAACGGUUUGUACCAAAUUUGUACAACUGCUUACUGUGCCCUAAUUCCCCAUUACUACCACUCUGUCAGUAAUUUGUCACUACCCAUUCUUUCCCAUUGUAGCUUGUACCUUUCAUGGCAUUUGUCCUAUUGUUUAACUUAAUGUAAUUAUUUGUUUAGAUAUCUGUUUUCUCUCACUCAAAUUUAAGAUCAUUAAAACCUAACACUGUGUAAUCUAUAGUUAGUAUUCAGAUAUUAUGUAGUGUGUAGGUCUCCAUAACUGACCAAUAGUUCCCAAACUAAUCAUAUUUUGUGGUAGGAUGUACAUAAUAGUAAUAUAAAUGCUAAAAUAGUUUAUACUAUGUAAUGUAUAUAGUAUAAACAGGAGAUAAGAUUUAUAACUAGAGAUUUGCACUUUCUAUUUUUUUAGGAAUUUAUUUUUAAUUAUUUGUAUGUGUGUAUAUCUUUCUGUGGGUAUGUGCCUAUGAGCGCAGGUACCUGUGGACCCAGAGGUGUUUGAUCCUCUAGAACUGGAGUUACAGUAGUUAUGAGCUGGUUGGUGUGGGUGCUAGAAAUCAAAUACAUAUCCUCUGCUCCUAACUACUGAGCCAUUUCUGUAUCCCUUAUUCUGAACUCUUAAUUGAAGUUGUUAUUUUUUAGUAAAAUAGUCUGUUGGUAUGCUUAUGGAUUAAACUGGAAACAGUGGAGAGAGAAAAAACACAAUUUUGAAAUAAAUGACUUGGUCUAAGUUUGGUGAACCACUUUGGUAUAGAAAAGGAGGA
rnacentral:lncRNA from 1 species